rnacentral:lncRNA from 1 species
UCUAUCAAUUUUAGAAAAAGACUUUUUAGUAAUUUUAGUAAGCAUGCAAGUUUUACAUCUUUCUAAUUUAUUAUCAAAAUAAGAAAUUAAUUCUUACUUAGCCAUAUCAUGUAAUUUUCUAUAAUUAAUAUGUCCUAAACAAUUAUGCCAUAAAUAAGAAGAAUCAACAAAUAGGCACAAAAUAUUCAUGUUAGGUAUAUACCCAUGAAAAAUUUUCGACUUUCUGAUUUACCCAUCUUAAAAAGGUUAAUAUUGAAAAUACCUUUUCUACGUUCCAACCUACUUCUAAUAUACUCCUAGAGUUAAAUUCUAUUAAUGAACUAUUAACAAUAGCUAUUAUCUGUAUAAAUUUACUAUUUUGCCCUUUUAAAUAUACACUUUCAUUAUCACCGACUUUUCUUAUUUGCCCUUAAUUUAGGGGUAUAAAAUGUAUUUUGAUUUUUGGUCUUUUCAAAUAUAUAUUUCUACCAUCACCAAUAUUUCUUAGUUGCUCUUAAGUUGAGGGCAAAAGUGGUAUUUUGAUUUUUUUUAACUCUAGUAGAUAUUUAACUCACGUUUAACCCAAGUUAACUUAAUUAACAAGUGAUAACUGUAAGGGUAUUUUAAAAUAACAGAGGAACAUAUGAAUGGUAUAUUGGAAAGAAAAAAAAUAGAGAUAAAUGAGAUAUUUCUGAAGUUUUCAGGGAUAUAUAGGCAAUUAUCCCUUCAUGUUAUUAGUGAGAUUGAAUUUGAAAGCGCCCUCAUACGAAUAUUCUUUUUUCAUAAAAAUUCCACCCUUCGACAAAAUAAAUUUGUCAGCUUCAAAUAUAAGUUUGAACUCAAAUUUAUUAAGAAACUCCUUGAACUAAGGUUAUUCUUAACCUCAAGGUACAUGAUAUACAUCAGUGAGAGUGAGAGUUUUUUCUGAUGUGAACUUGAGUUCCACCUUGUCUUUUCCUUUGAUUUGCAUUGUUGAAGAAUUGACCAUGUAGAGAACAUUUUUAUCUUCCAAUGCAUCAUAAGUUCUGAAUAAACAUCCAUACUUGCACACAUGUCUUCUAGAAUCCGGAUCAAUCCACCAAGCUUCAUCAGC